rnacentral:rRNA from 1 species
UUUAGAGAUAGAGGAGUGCUCUAAGAAAACCUGACACAGGUGCUGCAUGGCUGUCAUCAGCUCGUGUCGUGAGAUGUUGGGUUAACUCCCGCAACGAGCGCAACCCUUGCCAUUAGUUGCUACGAAAGGGCACUCUAAUGGGACUGCCGGUGACAAACCGGAGGAAGGUGGGGAUGACGUCAAGUCCUCAUGGCCCUUAUAGGUGGGGCUACACACCUCAUACAAUGGCUGGUACAAAGGGUUGCCAACCCACGAGGGGGAGCUAAUCCCAUAAAACCAAUCGUACUCCGGAUCGCAGUCUGCAACUCCACUGCCUGAAGUCGGAAUCGCUAGUAAUCGUGGAUCAACAUGUCACGGUGAAUACAUUCCCGGCUCUUGUACACACCG